AAUUAACAGAGAAAUAUGUAGAGCGCAAUGCCCUAAAGAUGUUCACAGGUGGGUGCUUCGUUGAAUUGAAGGAGGGUGUUGAUCAUGCUCUUCCAUUGAUGACAUUAUUCCCCUUUUUCCACUCUAUCUCUGCCUCUGAUGAAGGGACGAUUUCAUUGAUUGCAUUUUGCUACCGGAGUAAUGUGAUCCUACCACAACAGUCAUGAAUGAAGCAUCAAUGUCUCUAUCAUGUGCACAUUGAUAGGCCUGGAUGGUCUCUUCCUUAACUUUGUUGUGGAGGUGAAUCUGAGGUUGCUGCUGGGUCAUGGGCGGCGGGUGCACGAGGCAGAAGAGUCUGCUGCACCUUUUCAAAUGGCAUAGGAGGUCUGAAAGUACUGUGAACAACGCAUUCCAUUAUAUCGCAGAAAUCAUGUUUAUACAGGACCUAGGUCCAUGACCAGAUGGAGGUUUCCUUCAAAUCGAUAAUCAUCUGAGCCUGGUGCAAUUCUUUCAAUGCCUCUGCUUCGCUUUACAUCCAGGAACAAAAUUGACGCUCGCUCUGAAGCUGGACUUGUAUUGUUUUCGCGGGAGCUCUUUAAAAUGUUUGUCGGGAAUCUCGACAUGGCAAGGAUGGGGAAUUGGCUCAAGGUCAAGAAGUCAAUGCCAGUAUCAUAUUUGGUAGUACAUCUCUUAAAGUCUUUACCGCGGCUGCAUUGAAAUGAUUUCUGCCAAGAUCACUUCUACCACUUUGCUUUACACGCAAUUUUUCCUACUUUUCUCAUGAAAACAGUUCAAACUGAGAAUUCUACAACGUUCAGAUACGAACUGUGGCUUCGAUUGUUCUUCACUUGUGGCUUUCUUAGCAUAUCAAGAGGUCAUAGUUGUUCAUUGUAACAGUAAUGUGCAGAUCUCGAGCUGUAAUCCUCCAUGAUAUUAACAACUUCAGUGAUCUUGUGAUAAUUACUGUGGUACGAGACUCUUGAAGUAUAACCAGUCAUAGUUAUGGAAGUAAUUGAAUCGGAAAGUUGUUUCCUGUAUAACAAAUCAAAGCUGUUCAGACAGCGAUCACUUGUAGGUUAAACUAUAUCCCUGUCAACCUACGGGCUCAUCUAAAGCAGGGAUCGACUUAAUUAAAUUAGGGCCUUUCCAGCCAUAAGUUGAAUCAAGUGUAAGAUCAUUUGAUGGUCACACAAGGAACGAUGGUUAUUGAUUCAAAGUCCUGCCAUCACAGAAAUAUUUUGUCAUUUGUUGAAACUGACAUUAGUGUGAGU